rnacentral:rRNA from 1 species
GACGAACGCUGGCGGCGUGCCUAACACAUGCAAGUCGAGCGGAGAUAGUAGCAAUAUUAUCUUAGCGGCGGACGGGUGAGUAACGCGUGGGUAACCUGCCUUAUACAGGGGGAUAACACAGGGAAACUUGUGCUAAUACCGCAUAAUACCGUUGGAUGGCAUCAUCUGAUGGUCAAAGGAGUAAUCCGGUAUAAGAUGGACCCGCGUCCGAUUAGCUAGUUGGAGGUGUAACGGACCACCAAGGCGACGAUCGGUAGCCGAACUGAGAGGUUGAUCGGCCACAUUGGGACUGAGACACGGCCCAGACUCCUACGGGAGGCAGCAGUGGGGAAUAUUGCGCAAUGGGGGAAACCCUGACGCAGCAACGCCGCGUGAAGGAUGAAGGUUUUCGGAUUGUAAACUUCUUUAGUCGGGGACGAACAAAUGACGGUACCCGAAGAAUAAGCCACGGCUAACUACGUGCCAGCAGCCGCCGUAACAC